AAGAUCUUCCGACUGGAUAUACCAGAAAAACGGUGAUGUUCACCUUGGUAACGGUCAAUUCAUAUCAGCGACAACACUUAGUAAUGUUCAUAGUGAUUCACAUACCCCGGGGCGACUGGUUGGUAAUUUAAUUGUAGCUGUGUUCAGCGAGUCGGUAUUGAAAGAUAGUACAAAAACUGGGCGCCCCAGCAAUCGAAGCAAAGGAAAAACCGCACUUUCAGAAAAUGAUGGCAAGGUCGCUGUUUCAAACAAAUCAAAAAAAAUAGAUGCUACACUUCUGGAAGCAUGCAGAGCGUAUUAUAAAUUUUGGUUGGAGACUUCUUAUAAGUCUUACUUGAGUCAAAAAGAUCAACUUCGAUUUGAACCGUCUGUAGAGUACAACAGAUUCGACAAGUAUGUCAC